AGGAGCGGUGCCAGUGCGAAGGAGCACUUACGAGUAUUUACUUUGAAUUUUGCAAGUAUAAGCAUUUGCUUACUUUUAUUCAUACGGCCCAUUGUCUCAAUUAGGGAUGUAACGGAAGUGGUUAUAUCGGAACGGAAUUCCGAAGCGGAAUUUUUAAAUUUGGUUUAUCGGAAUCGGAACCGUAAUCUCAGGCAAAAGAAACAUGCCAGAUUUUGAACAGUCCUAAUAUGUAAAUAAAUCAAACCAAGUUACUCGAAAAUUAAGAAGCUAAUUAUAUUUAAUAAACAAAAUAACAAGUGAAACGGUAAUCAACGCAAAGCGUGGGGUAAGAGAGGUUCCUCGCGACAAGUAUAAAUGUGUUUCUACGUGAACACACUGAUUGUGGCUGCACCGCCAACGCCAUAAACCGCCCAUAUACAUUCAAUUAAAAUUUGUCGGAAUCGAAAGUGCAAAAUCAGUCGGAAGUUCCGCUCUUUCAGAAUCGGAAUCGAACCUCCGUUACAUCCCUAGUCUCACUACCUAAUCUUUGCCAUGGAUUUUAAACUACGUUUAAGCUAACUCCGCUUAAAUUUAUCGAUACAAACGGCCAUUAACCAGACUGGUCGAGUAAUAAAUACAUUUGUUUCUGAAGUAAUUUUCACCAGCCUGUUGAAUUAUCGUAAAGCCCCAAUGUUUUAGUAUAGCAUGUAUUCUUUAAGGCAGAUUCACAUUAUCGGUCAGGUUACGGUCAGAAGAUGUUCAUAAGGAACACAGGGUACAAUAAUUCACAGCACAGACCUGUGACCGAUAAAAUGUAUCAGCCUUAAUAUGGGUCCCAAGGGUAAUCAUCGUAAUUAAUGAUGAUAGGCAUUCCAUGCACCACUCAUAGAGAAAUCAAUGCUGAGGAUUUGCCAAAUUGCUGACAAGGAAUACAUUCAGUAGAAGAAGCAAUUGUGGACCAUGGACAACAUCUUUUUUUUUAUUAAGGCAUGGUUGAGCGCAGGGAAGAAGUUUAUUAGUCAAAAGUAACCUAACAGGUAGAUGAGGACACAUAACCUGUAACUUCUCUAUUGUGUAGGAGAACACAAUGAGCUACCAAAAAAUUAAUUAAGAGAGAAAUAACGUUCAGGUUCAUUACGAUGCGCGGUCAAUAAAACUGCCAGCAUUCGGAUACUGGCAUUUAAAUGCAGUUUAAUUUGGAAAUAACGACCCUUGGCCAACAACUUUGUUAAUCAAGUGCAUUGUUCGGAUCUAAUUGGGGUUUAGCAUGACUAUUUUAUGAGGAUAAUUGGACAUUUCUAUGAACAAAGUAAGCAGUACAACUAAUGCUGGAAGGACUGAAAAAUCCUUAAGCAUUGGCAGUGACUAUAUUUACUGGAAUGUCCUGACAACCAAGUCAAAUUAAAGACCAGCAUUGGCAGUGGCCCAUGGAGUUCCAGAUCAUACAGUAGGACCGGAAUAUUGGUGUUUUAUCGUCGAUGUACUAGUGGAGUUUAACAAACUAAAUUUUACACAAUCAAAAGUGAAAUAUGGCAAAUUAUACUCUACAUUGUCAUAAUGUAUGUGUAAAUUUUAUAUGAUGGCCAAGUCCCAUUAGGUUUUUUGUUUAUUUGCUCACAAGCAGUGGCGGCGCGUAGUGGUGUGUCUUGGGGGUGCACAAUUUUUAAAAAAGGGGAAAAAUGAGGCAACGGGUAAAACGCCGGAGGCGAAAAUUUUUUGAGUGCCACCGCAACACGAAGUUUUUUGGGCCUAUUAAAUGGCAUAAAAAGCUUAUUGAUGAGACCUCUAAAUACUCCAGGGUUUAUUGAAUUUUCUCGUUUUGUCAAUGGAUGCGGAGAGCAAGUUCCAAAGUACCACAAAAUUUUAUACGGUCUAUAAUUUUGGAUAAAACAUACCUGUUCUUUUUUACUUCCUCAUUACGUUUUUCGAUACUCAAAACGGUAUGCACUAUUUAACUGUUGCCGUAUAUCUUACUUACCUAAUAAAUUAAAUCUCAAUUUAGCAGAUAUAUGAUGUGCCUUUGAAGAUUGAUAUUUUUUAUUUUUUCGGAUAAAUGCACUAAGUCUGUAACGCCAUUCUUUGUCCAUUCUGAUGCCUCAUCACCGAGCUCAUAACCAAACAACAAACACGGAAAACAAUAGACUAUUGUUAAAAGGUACAACCGCAUAACCAGUCAGUUUUUCAUACAUGUCUAUUUUAAACGAUCGUUUAUAAUCCCGACUUCCUUUAUUGAUUUUCGGUAUUUCCAAACUCGGUUUUGGGCGACCCGCAUAUUUUAUUUUAAUUCUCUAAUUCUUCUAAUUUUAGUAAACGAAAUUUAAUAAUUGUCUUUAAAUAAUGAACGGUAACUUCGCAACGUUACAUUUAAAACCGAAACGAUCAACAAGCCCUACUUCGUAGUCCGGCGAAUAUUGGUUCAUAAUGAGAGUGUGCUCUUGCUAUACUUUACAACUUUGACUUCGCGGGGCGCACGGGGAAAGGCGAUGUAGCGAUUGAACGAGUCAGAGAUUGUAGCUAAUUGUGCACUGCACGGGAAGGCGGAAUGGGAAUAAUUCUUAAUACACGUUCAGCGGUGUGUCAGUGUACCUUACCCGUUAGGUUUUGCAUUUCAGAUAAGAUAAGUGAACUAUUUUUAUUGCGAGAUACGAACGUGUAAGAAUGUUAAAUACAGAAAUAGAAUUGUUAUUGUUUUCGUUUUUUUUAAAUGAUUUUUGGGAGUGCACGUGCUCAUGUGCACUUACUGAGAAACCGCCACUGCUCGCAAGGUUUUUUAAUUUAAUCGCACUAAACAAAGGAGAAUAAUUUACCACCUUAAAAUGUAGAAAGUAAAGAGUAAAGUAAUUUUUAAUUUGAUACAUUUAAUGGCAUAUUUGUAUUUUGAAUAUGUAUGUCUACACUAAAAAACAUGCUUCAACUUCCAUUAUUACACCGAUGAAACGCAUGCCAUGAGAAUUGCACAUCACCAGCAAAGAUGGUCACUGAAUGUUUUGGAUGGAUUACUGAGAGAACAUCUGAGUCCGUUCCGUACUUAGAGUGGUCUUUAGACAGAAAUCGCUAUAUAAGAUUUCUUCUUGAGGACUUUGUGAAACUCUUUGAAAAUGUGGCUGUAGCCUCUCGAUGACAGUUGUUCGGGAAUAUCUUCAUGGAAAGUCCAGAUUUAAAGAAAAAUCAGCGGCGUAAUGUAGGGUGCAAACAUAUAACAUUUAUAAUAAUGGCAGAAAUUAUAUGGAAAAGUAGAUUAAAGUGUAGACUUCCAUGUAAAAAUAAAACAGUUACAAAAGGUUA